CAAUAAGACCAUUCACUACGGAUCGUCCGGCACGUACCUGCCGGUGAAGGGAUUGAUAA
rfam:Arthrobacter sp. Leaf69 contig_1, whole genome shotgun sequence.